GCCAAAUAUCUAGCCCAACCCCUCUUAAUAAAAAUACUCUAACUCUUUACCUAAGUAAAACAUUUUUUUAGUAUAGUAGAGGUGAUUAAAAAACUUCUCGGAGCAAUAAUUUCUGUACCGCAAGGGAAAGAUGAAAUAAAAAUGAAAAACCUUAUAAGCCCUAAUUAGCAGAGCUUAACUCUCGUACCUUUUGCAUCAUGGUUUAACUAGUCUAAUCAAGCAAAAAGAUUUUCAGUUUGAACCCCCGAAACUAGGCGAGCUAAUUUAGGGCAGUUUUAUGAACGAACCCAUCUCUGUUGCAAAAGAGUGGGAAGACCCUAAAAUAGCGGUGAUAGACCUAACGAGCUUAGUGAUAGCUGGUUGCCCCAGAAAAGGAUUUUAGUCCUGCUUAAACCUUUUUGAUAAACCCAAAAAUCAGUUUAAAGUCAAUCAGACAAGGUACAGCCUGUUUGAUCAAGGAUACAACCUUAAUUACUGGGUCUUAAUUUUUUAUUAUGGUAAAGUAGGCUUAAAAGCAGCCACCUUAAACUAAAGCGUCAAAGCUUCCCCAUUAAUUUAACUAAUUCCUAUAUUCCCAUUUAUCCCUUAUUUUUCCCAUGGGGCAUCUCUAUACCCUUAUAGAAAAUUUAAUGUUAAAACUAGUAAUAAGAAGCAGAUUCUUCUCCUUAAACGCAAGUUUAUGCCAGUCAGGACACCCCACUGGCAAUUAACGCCCCUGAUAUUCCAGUUGAAACAAAACAAGAAAAAUCCACUAUCAUUUAAGCGUCUACCUAACACCAGAGCGUUACAAGAAAGAUUAAAAGAAAAAGAAGGAAUUCGGCAAAUACCUAGUCCCGCCUGUUUACCAAAAACAUCGCCUUUUGUUUAACAAAUAAGAGGUCCAGCCUGCCCAGUGACUCUGUUCAACGGCCGCGGUAUCCUAACCGUGCGAAGGUAGCGUAAUCACUUGUUCUUUAAUUGAGGACUAGUAUGAAUGGCCCCACGAGGACUAAACUGUCUCCUUUUUCUAAUCAAUGAAACUGAUCUCCUCGUGAAGAAGCGAGGAUAAACAUAUAAGACGAGAAGACCCUAUGGAGCUUUAAACAAUAGAGAUACUUGCUAAACCUAAACUGUCUUUCUGAAAACUAAACAAAUUAAAGCAUUUUACUUUCUAGUUUUAGGUUGGGGUGACCACGGAGAAAAGAAAAACCUCCACGUUGUAAGAAGCCUUCCAUCUUCUAAACCAAAAGCUACAGCUUAAAGCAUCAACACAUUGACUCUCAUUGACCCAAUAAUUUGAUCAACGGACCAAGUUACCCUAGGGAUAACAGCGCAAUCUACUUUGAGAGCUCAUAUCGACAAGUAGGUUUACGACCUCGAUGUUGGAUCAGGGUAUCCUAGUGGUGCAGCCGCUACUAAUGGUUCGUUUGUUCAACGAUUAAAACCCUACGUGAUCUGAGUUCAGACCGGAGUAAUCCAGGUCAGUUUCUAUCUAUAAAGAGGUUUUUCUAGUACGAAAGGACCAAAAAACCACAGCCAAUGUUUAACCAAGCCGUAAA
rnacentral:rRNA from 1 species